CCUACGGGUGGCAGCAGUGGGGAAUAUUGGACAAUGGGCGAAAGCCUGAUCCAGCCAUGCCGCGUGUGUGAAGAAGGCCUUCGGGUUGUAAAGCACUUUCAGUGGGGAAGAAAGCCUUGGGGCUAAUACCCUCGAGGAAGGACAUCACCCACAGAAGAAGCACCGGCUAACUCCGUGCCAGCAGCCGCGGUAAUACGGAGGGUGCGAGCGUUAAUCGGAAUUACUGGGCGUAAAGCGCGCGUAGGCGGUCUGAUAAGCCGGUUGUGAAAGCCCCGGGCUCAACCUGGGAACGGCAUCCGGAACUGUCAGGCUAGAGUGCAGGAGAGGAAGGUAGAAUUCCCGGUGUAGCGGUGAAAUGCGUAGAGAUCGGGAGGAAUACCAGCGGCGAAGGCGGCCUUCUGGACUGACACUGACGCUGAGGUGCGAAAGCGUGGGUAGCAAACAGGAUUAGAUACCCUGGUAGUC
rnacentral:rRNA from 1 species